rnacentral:rRNA from 1 species
GAUGAACGCUAGCGAUAGGCUUAACACAUGCAAGUCGAGGGGCAGCACAAGGUAGCUUGCUAUCUGGGUGGCGACCGGCGCACGGGUGCGUAACGCGUAUGCAACUUGCCCUAUACAGGAGGAUAACCCGUCGAAAGACGGACUAAUACUGCGUAUGCUCACAACUUGGCAUCAAGUGGUGAGGAAAGAAAUUCGGUAUAGGAUAGGCAUGCGUCCCAUUAGCUUGUUGGUGAGGUAACGGCUCACCAAGGCAACGAUGGGUAGGGGAACUGAGAGGUUUAUCCCCCACACUGGUACUGAGACACGGACCAGACUCCUACGGGAGGCAGCAGUGAGGAAUAUUGGUCAAUGGGCGCGAGCCUGAACCAGCCAAGUCGCGUGAAGGAUGACUGUCUUAUGGAUUGCAAACUUCUUUUAUACGGGAAUAACAAGAGUCACGUGUGACUCCCUGCAUGUACCGUAUGAAUAAGCAUCGGCUAACUCCGUG